rnacentral:rRNA from 1 species
GAUGAACGCUGGCGGCGUGCCUAAUACAUGCAAGUCGAGCGAACGGACGAGAAGCUUGCUUCUCUGAUGUUAGCGGCGGACGGGCGAGUAACACGUGGAUAACCUACCUAUAAGACUGGGAUAACUUCGGGAAACCGGAGCUAAUACCGGAUAAUAUUUUGAACCGCAUGGUUCAAAAGUAAAAGACGGUCUUGCUGUCACUUAUAGAUGGAUCCGCGCUGCAUUAGCUAGUUGGUAAGGUAACGGCUUACCAAGGCAACGAUGCAUAGCCGACCUGAGAGGGUGAUCGGCCACACUGGAACUGAGACACGGUCCAGACUCCUACGGGAGGCAGCAGUAGGGAAUCUUCCGCAAUGGGCGAAAGCCUGACGGAGCAACGCCGCGUGAGUGAUGAAGGUCUUCGGAUCGUAAAACUCUGUUAUUAGGGAAGAACAUAUGUGUAAGUAACUGUGCACAUCUUGACGGUACCUAAUCAGAAAGCCACGGCUAACUACGUG